GACAGAGGUGGCAAGCGUUGUUCGGAAUCACUGGGCUUAAAGCGUGUGUAGGCGGCUGUUCAAGUGCCUUGUGAAAUCCCUCGGCUCAACCGAGGAACUGCUUGGCAUACUGAACGGCUUGAGGCAGGUAGAGGCGCGGGGAACUCUUGGUGGAGCGGUGGAAUGCGUAGAUAUCAAGAGGAACGCCGGAGACGAAGGUGCUGCGCUGGGCCUGUCCUGACGCUGAGACACGAAAGCCAGGGGAG
rnacentral:rRNA from 1 species